GCACAACAUUUUGUUUGACCAGUUAUAAAUUUUUUGAAUCACUGACCUAACAAAAUGUUAUUUACCUCUGUCCCAAUUCUGGAUGGGAAAACUACUCCCUUUCUGAAACUCUGUAGAAUAAUCUCAGAGUAGCUAUGACUAUGUCUUCAGUUGGCACACAGUGCCUCGCUGUAUGGACAUUAUACUGUUGUUAUAAAUAGCAAAGUAAGAACAACAUAUUAUUACUGCAUAUGAAUCACUCUUUGCUUUUCCCAUUGGGUAGAGAAUGUCCCGAGUGCUGACAGGAAGCUACUCACUCUCCAAAGGUAAAAAAGGCACAGUGCUGUUUUUAAGGAGUCUGACCUAUUGUUUCACACUACCUACCAAACAUUUGGGAUGCUGUCUUACUAAGAGUAAGAGCUUCUAAGGUUCAAAAGCACUUAGGCUACUCCUGUGCACUAAAACUUCUUAGAAGAAAAGGGAAACUUUACAGCAACAUCUAUUUCUCCUGUGACUAAAAAUGUUGGUUGUCUUUUGAAAAGCAUCCACCUCCUCAACUGGGAAGAGAAUGGGAAAAGCUGCUUCCUUUACGGAGUGGCAGAAUGCCCACCCAGCAUCUCCAAAGCUUACAUUAAAGAAGCAAGAUAGGCCACAGGUGUUUCUGAAGGGAAGUAGGAAACAGGCACCUCAAAAAUAAGAACCAUCAAAGUAACAUGCCUGUUACCUUGAAGUUAUAACUAUAACUAGUGAAACAGUGCUAGCUGACUUUCAAUAAAGUCAAAAGUCUUCUAAGCCAAUUUUGGCUUCUCUCUAGAGAGAGUUUAAAUGCUCUUAGGUCAUUUCUCCUUCUAUUACAGCAGAAGGCUAUAACUCGCAUUCUGGAUCAUGGCUACUCUGUACUGGAUUCCCCCAAGGCAACUCAAUCAUUUCCAAAAGUGGAAAAGUCUUUGAGCAAACAGCAAGAGGAAGACAAAGUGUCCAAAAAGGGCAACAAGAAAGCAAAACAAACAUCUGAAAAUCCUCCGCACUGCAGAUCUGAGGACAGAAGCAAACAGAAAAGUAGCCUGAUG
rnacentral:lncRNA from 1 species